UAUUAAAAAAAUAUUCAUUUGUACUGUUAAAAACUAAUGUGGUUAAUGAAAUAACUAGACACGUCACAUGUACCUUAUGCUCAUGUAUAAGGAUAAUUUAUUAACAAUAAAAAUGGAUGAAAUUUUUAAUA
rnacentral:pre_miRNA from 1 species